rnacentral:rRNA from 1 species
GACGUAGGGGGCUAGCGUUGUCCGGAUUUAUUGGGCGUAAAGAGCGUGUAGGCGGCCAGGUAGGUCUGGUGUGAAAACUCGAGGCUUAACCUCGAGAUGUCAUCGGAAACCAUCUGGCUAGAGUCCGGAAGAGGAGAGUGGAAUUCCUGGUGUAGCGGUGAAAUGCGCAGAUAUCAGGAAGAACACCAAUGGCGAAAGCAGCUCUCUGGGACGGUACUGACGCUGAGACGCGAAAGCGUGGGGAACGAACAGG